rnacentral:tRNA from 1 species
UGGAGGGUGGCGGGCCAUCCGGCUCCCGGAACCUAGGCUUCCGGGGCAUGGAUUCCCGGGCGCGGAUGGUUCGCGGCCGUCCUCCGCAUCC